rnacentral:lncRNA from 1 species
AGUAACGUUUCUACUGAUUGAAGUUCCGAUUCCUCCAACCGGUAAGAAAACCCCUUUUCUCGUUGCCCUAGGGUUGUAAACAUGCGAUUGAACUUCUUGCAUGCAUCCCAUUUCGUUUUCUUCCAUAGUCUAGCUUCCAUUUGGUUCUAAGAUUCGUUUUCCAUCAUCAAUUGAUGAUUUAUAGGUGAUUCUAACAUUUUGGGAGUGCAAGCAAGUGGGCUAGGUGUUGACAAAUUGGUAAGUGUACCAAAUCGUACAAGUAAUAUAAAUGGUAAGACCAAGUAUCGUUUUCCCAAGAGACUCGAAAGGCUUUCUCGUUCACGUGAAUUAAAAUAAUAAGACUUGAAAAUAAAAAUUAAUAAAUUGGAUUUGAGAACAAAAAUAUUAACAUGCAAAAUAAAGGUGAUUCAAUUGACAAACAAAAACAAUGGAUGAACGGAUGUUGUUGGGGGUUCACAAUUUCAUCUAAUCCGCUCUCUCUUACCUACUCCUCUUGAAUAUUAGUUUGAUUAAUUAAUUGUUAUGUGACUUUCUUAGCCUUCCCUUAACCCGAUCCCUCGGCGAAAAGAGCCUAAUAUUAACUACUGGCUUGCUAUCCCUAGCCUCCCCUAGCAAUUAAUACCGCAUUAUAAACAGAAGUUAGCGCAAUUGAUCGUCCUACCCCUAUCCCUAGGUGGUAUUGCAAAAUCAAGAAAUUACUCACCAGUUCAUGUCAUUACUGUACGUCCCCAUAUCAAUGAAGACAAACAUCAGUUACUGAAUGAGUUAAACGAUAAAGGCCUUAAGCACAGAUGAUAACCCAACAAUUAUCAAUCAAAAGAUAUGGAGACCAUAUAAAUAAUCAAGAGUUUCAAUAAAANAGAGUAUCAAAAGAUUACAUUGUUUCCCCCAACAACAAUAGGGUUUAGUUCACCAUAGACAUGGUGAAACUAGAUGAAAAAUGGAAGAAGAAUGGAAGAGAAAACCCUAGAAAAGAUGAAAAGGAGCCUAAGCAUCCAAGAGAUCCUCUCUAGAGAGCAAAAUUAGGUCUGGUCGUUCUCCCCUGUCAAAAGAAUAACUCUGAACUCGAAAUAGGGGUAUUUAAAGGUGAGGAGCGUAACAGAAAACAGGCCCAAGCCCAGUGAGCCACCGCUCGGCGGUUUAAGUGUGCCGCCCGACGAUUUAAGUGUGCCCCGCGGCGGUUUCCCAUAAUCCUCCAAACCGCCCGGCGGCAAUCACCACCGCCCGGCGAUUUCCCUCAGAACCGCC